UACGGAGGAUUCAAGCGUUAUCCGGAUUUAUUGGGUUUAAAGGGUGCGCAGGCGGUCCUGCAAGUCUGGAGUGAAACGUAUGAGCUCAACUCAUGCAUGGCUCUGGAAACUGGAGGACUGGAGAGCAGGAGAGGGCGGUGGAACUCCAUGUGUAGCGGUGAAAUGCGUAGAUAUAUGGAAGAACACCAGUGGCGAAAGCGGCUCUCUGGUCUGUAACUGACGCUGAGGUUCGAAAGCGUGGGUAGCAAACAGG
rnacentral:rRNA from 1 species